rnacentral:lncRNA from 1 species
GGGUAAAGAUAAUAAAGAGUGGAGAAUGGAAGAAAACAAGAGUGUGUGUGUACGAGUAUUUGUGUGUGUGUGUGUGUAAGCUACUCAAAAGACAUGGCGGGAAUAGUUACUGCUGUGGUUUGGAUGUUGAACAUCCCCCAAGGCCCAUAUAUGACAGCUUGGUCCCCAGGCACUGUUGGAAAGUGGUGGAUCUUUUGGGAGGUGAAAUCUAGAGGAAGGUUGUUAAUCCUGGGGGCUGCCCUUGGGAGGCAGUUCUCUGAGAGGGUUGUUAGGAAAGUUCAAGUCUGGCCCCCACUCAGUCCUUUCUCUACUGCUGGCUUGGGAUGUCAUCUCUUGCUUGCUCCCCAAGGACACUCCAGCCAUUGACAUCUGUCAUGCACCAUAAGAUGAGGCAAUUAAGGGGUGGUCCUCACCAAGCUGGCCCAAUGCCAUUUGGACUUUGAACACUGUGAGCUAAACAAACCUCCUUUUCUUUAUAAGUAUCCUAUCUCAGGUGUGUGGAUAUAGUAAUGAAAAGCUGACUCGUACAGUUUUGGAUUCACAACAGUCCUCUUUAAAGCUAGAAAAGUACCAAGUGAUUGGGCAGGUGGUCAGGUUGUGAGUAGAGAUGUUUCUGACCCCAUUAUCUUUCCAUCUGGGAAAUGUUUCAGUGGAGCAAGGCAAGGAAAAGACCAGCAAUAGCCCAUUUCGGCCCUUGGUUAGAUUUCCUAGGGAGUAAAAUCACACCUCCCAGUCCUACUUGCUAAUCACCAUGCCAUCAGAGUCUAUGUAACCCCAGCUCGAGGUAUUACCUAUGAGAUGCAAAAACUGAGUAUGCAGUUAGUGAAGAGAUGUCUGCAGUCUCAGUAAAACCAGGCCUUGUUAGGAAGAGCUGUGGAUUGGAAGGCAGGACACCUGGGUUUGAAUCAUAGCCACUGAAAACUUGGGUGCAUCACUUACUCUUACUGGACCUGAAUGUUCUUAUCUGUAAAACAGAGUUGUACUCAAUGUUUUCUAUCAUUACUUCCUGCUCUAACUUGCUAAGAUUCUCCUUGUCUUUUGAGCUUCAAGGUUUCAGAGCAUUCUAGAUCUUUACCAGAAAGUAUGAGUCUGGGGAAGUGGAAACCCAGAAGAGCCAGCUGCAUUAGUUUGCUAGGGCUGCUUAACAAACUACCACAGACUGGGUGGCUUACCAAAAGAAAACUUAUUGUAAAGCUUAUCACAGUUCUGGAGCCUCCAAGCCCAACAUCAAGGUGUCUCCGCUGGGCUGCAAGGGAAUCUGUUCCAGUCCUCUCCCCUCUCUUCAGAUUUGCUGGCAGUCUCUGGCCUUCCUUGGCUUAUAGAUGCAUCAUCUAAUCUUUGUUUUCAUCUCCAUGUGGGAUUCUCUAUGCAUCUGUCUCUAUGUUCCCAUUAAAAAAAAAAAAAAAUCAGGACACCAGGCCAGGUCGAGUGGCCCACACCCUGCAAUCCCAGCAACUCUCUCUCUCACACACACAUACACAAAGGGCACCAGUUUAGGGCCGCUCUAAUGGCCUUAUUUUAUUUAUUUAUUUUUAUUAAAGCAUUGUAGUUAUACAUUGUCAUUGGUUCAUUUUGACAAAAUCAUACAUGCAUGGGAUUUGGUUUCAGUCCCUACCCUCUGUUUCCUCCCCUCCUUUCUCUCCCUAGUCUUCUUAUCUACUGAUUUUCCUUUGCUCAUUUAUUUUUGAUUAGAUCUUCUAUGUACACAAUAAAGGUGAAAUUCCCUGUGGUAUAUUUAUAUAUGCACAUAACGUGAUUUUGUUAAAUUCAUUCCACAUUUCUUCCCCUUUCUCAUCCCUCCUCCUUCCCUUUUGAUCUCCUUCUACUCCACUAUUCUUCCCUGAUUAUGAUAUUCCAUUCCUUUCCACCUUCUUUCCUUUAUUUUGCUGUAGCUUCCACGUAUAAGAGGAAACAUUUCACCCUUGAUUUUCUGAGUCUGGUUUAUUUCACUUAGCAUGAUGUUCUUCAUUUCCAUCCAUUUACCAGCAAAUGCCAUAACUUCAUUCUUCUUUGUGGCUGAGUAAAACUGCAUUGUGUAUAUAUGCCACAUUUUCUUGACCCAUUCAUCUAUUGAUGGGCAUCAGGGCUGAUUUCAUAAUUUGGCUAUUGUGAAUUUGCUGCUAUAAAUAUUGAUGUGGCUGCAUCCCUAUAGUAUGCUGAUUUUAGAUCUUUUGGAUAUAUACCAAGGAGUGGGAUAGCUAGGUUUUAUAGUGGUUCCAUUCCUAGUUUUUUGAGGAAUCUCCACAUUGUUUUCCAGGGUGGUUGUACUAGUCUACAGUCCCACCAACAAUGUGCAGCUGCCUUUCCCCCACAUCCUGAAUAACAUUUAUUAUAUUUGUUUUCUGGGUUAAUUGCCAUUCUAAUUGAAAUGAGAGGAAAUCAGUGUAGUUUUGAUUUACAUUUAUCUAAUUUCUAAAGAUGUUG